AUUGAACGCUGGCGGCAGGCCUAACACAUGCAAGUCGAACGAGUGGCGGACGGGUGAGUAAUGUAUGGGAAACUGCCUGAUGGAGGGGGAGAACUACUGUAAACGGUAGCUAAUACCGCAUACCAUCAGAUGUGCCCAGAUGGGAUUAGCUAGUUUGUGGGGUAACGGCUCACAAAGGAGACGAUCCCUAGCUGGUCUGAGAGGAUGACCAGCCACACGGGAAUUGAGACACGGUCCAGACUCCUACGGGAGGCAGCAGUGGGGAAUAUUGCACAAUGGUCGCAAGCCUGAUGCAGCCAUGCCGCGUGUAGGAAGAAGGCCUUCGGGUUGUAAAGUACUUUCAGCGGGGAGGCGUUACCCGCAGAAGAAGCACCGGCUAACUCCGUGCCAGCAGCCGCGGUAAUAC
rnacentral:rRNA from 1 species